UACGGAGGGUGCAAGCGUUGUUCGGAAUUAUUGGGCGUAAAGCGCGUGUAGGCGGCUUUGCAAGUCGGGUGUGAAAGCCCUCAGCUUAACUGAGGAAGUGCGCCCGAAACUGCAGAGCUCGAGUACCGGAGAGGAUGGUGGAAUUCCCCAAGUAGGGGUGAAAUUCGUAGAUAUGGGGAGGAACACCGGUGGCGAAGGCGACCAUCUGGACGGAUACUGACGCUGAGACGCGAAAGCGUGGGUAGCAAACAGG
rnacentral:rRNA from 1 species